rnacentral:pre_miRNA from 2 species
CUUCUGGAGCCUCAUCUGUCUGUUGGGCUGGAGGCAGGGCCUUUGUGAAGGCGGGUGGUGCUCAGAUCGCCUCUGGGCCCUUCCUCCAGCCCCGAGGCGGAUUCACCAC